AGGAAGAUUUGAAAUCGAGCAAUGCUCAUUGCAUUGCAUACUGGAUAAAGGAUCGCAAAAAGGUUAUGAAAGUGCAUGAAUUGAGGCAAAAACUUAGGAUGCGAGGUCUUCGUUGCCAUCCAAUGUAUUGCAGGAGCUCAACAAGGAUGCAAAUCAUUCCUCUCUUGGCAUCUCGAGCACAAGCACUCAGGUACCUUUUUGUCCGUUGGAGGUUGAAUGUUGCAAACAUGUAUGUAAUUCUUGGUGAAACUGGAGACACUGACUAUGAGGAAAUGAUAUCUGGGGCUCAUAAGACCAUGAUAAUGAAAGAUGUGGUGACAAUAGGAUCC
rnacentral:misc_RNA from 1 species